rnacentral:rRNA from 1 species
GGCCCGGCUGUUGUGGUCGGCCGCACAGGUCUGUACUCUUCGGGCCGGGCCUUUCCUUCUGGAGAACCGUCAUGCCAUUCACUUGGUGUUGCGGAGAUCCAGGACUUUUACCUUGAAAAAAUUAGAGUGUUUAAAGCAGGCGAAACAGCUUGAAUACAUUAGCAUGGAAUAAUAAAACAG